UGAGGUGGGCCUGUAUACAGCUCCUGGAACUUUUCAGCAGCUGGCAAUCGGUGCAAAGUGAAUCCAUCUUCCUCAGAAAUCUGUAAAAGCCUUCUCCAAUUGGAGGUCCCGAUAAGGAACACAGAACUGACGAGCUACCACCAGCCGGAAGAGGGGCCAAAAUGAGGGAGACGCCAGCCCAUAAUAUGUCCUGCCAACCUCCCAGAAAUCCUCACGCUGGAAACCAUCUUGACUGAGAGAUGUAUGCGCUGCCAGGAAUUGGACCAAAUAUGGGCACAAGCAAGAUGAUUAGCCAGAGACAACCUGGAAAGCUAACUCCAUUACCAUAAAACCUGAGACUGCAAGCCACGUGGCAGAGCAGUUCUCCUGAGUUCCUUAUACCCGGCUGUUCUCCGCCCAGGCACCCCUUCCUAGUAAAAUCUUUUGCUUUGUCAGUACAGGUGUCUCCUUGGACAAUUCAAUUCCGAGUGUUAGACAAGAGUCCACUCUUGGGCCCUGGAAGGGGUCCCCCUUACAGUAACAUAACCAUAAAUGAGCCUCUUUUUUUUUCCCUAAGUGCUUGUUGUAUGAAUUUAUUAAUUUCCUCAAAAUACAUGGAAGAGUUUCAAGAAAAUUAUAAUAGUUUGUCUACAAAUUAAUAAGACUACAAUGGAACUGUACAAUAGUCAUAGCGAAAGCAAAGAAGUUAGACAAGAACUUUGAGGUCGCUGUGGAAAUUUAGGCAACAGAGAAACAGGGGGCAACAGACUGGUAGAAAAGUAACAAGGGAGGUCAGCGGACAAAGGAGGAUAUUAUCUUCGAGCUAGAUUAAUAAGAGUAUAAAGGUUUCUAAAAUGCCAGACUUUUCCUUGAGGCAUUAAACCCAUUCACUGCAGAGUAAGCAGGUUUUUAUUACCCCAAAUCUUGAAGCUUCUAAUUGGAUUUUGAUUACUUCUGCCCUCUGAAAAAAGACUUCUUUUAGUCUGCAGAACAUUGGUAGCAUCAAUUCAAAUCUUAUAAAUGGGUUAAUACUUACACUAGAUUUUUUCCUAUUUUAUUCUUUUUUUCUGUCCCAUAACUUUUCAGGGCUAAUGCUUGUGUUAUGCUAAUUCAUCUCCCUGCCUGGACCUUCUCAACCAAGGAUUAACUGCCUAACAGGAACAAUUAGAGCUCUUUUCCUGCUCAUUAAACAAAGGGUACAAAUAUGAAACCAACUUCUUAGGAGACCAGGUACAUAAAGAAAAAAAAAACUGGAAUGAUAGAUAAGCAAAUAUAAUGUUGAUGACUGUUGAUACUAUUAUGAGUACAUGAGGGUUUCAACGUAUUAGUCUGAGAAAAAAAAUAUUGCCUGUCAUAUCAGUAAACAAAGGAUGUCACAGCCAUCAGUCACAGCAGCCACCGCCGAUAGUGAGCCCUGAGGGAACUCGGGAUGGAAACAAGGAAUGCCCCCCAUCUAGCAGUCAUCAGACUGCAGCCACCCCAACAGUGCAGAUUAAGGAAACUCAGGAUGAGAAAACACAGGACACUGGCCCCAGAUA